AAUACCUUCAUAAUCUUCUAGCAUGUAAUUGUUGUAUAGUUAACUGUUGUGAGUGUGUGGAAGUGAGGGUAUGUGUGUGUGUUGGAGAGAGUGGAUUUUUUGAGCGGUCGACGAGGAGCUUGCGGUGGCCAGGUGUGGCGACGGGGAAGGGUUUCAUAGGGGGUGGAUUUUCUCCUUUUUUUUAUUUUACGUUUUAUUUGGUUUGGGAUCGAACCGAGCCUGCUUUUAGUGUUCUAGUUUCGAUAGAUCGGAGUUGUCGGGUUGAAAAGUGAGAUUUGAAGCUAUAAAUUCAAAUUAUACUA